CCUUUCACCCCAGGUCAGGCGGG
rnacentral:rRNA from 1 species